ensembl:lncRNA
GAGCUGGCACUGAUGUUUGGAGAGGAUAAUGCUAUAGCUUUUCUGGCUUCCCAUGCUCUGAUGUGAAAAACUCUGAUCACAGGGCCAGGUCACUGUUGUCAUUCAUUACACUAAGAGAGGUUUGCUAACAGAGCACAGAUUUGUUGUUGUAGCAGAAAUGCUGAGUCAGGGCCUGAAGCAGUGAUGGAGCACCUGGUGGGAAGGCAGGGCCAAUCCAGGGCAGCUCAGGUGCAUGCAAUGUACCUGAGUGAUGAAGGGGUGGAGCCAGGAUCCUCCCCUUCCCAGACCUCAUUUAAGGGCUCACAGCCCAUGUGGGGAGGAGGGUUUUUGCUGGAUAUCCCUGUCUAUCUGAGGCCUUCUGAAGUGUUUUCAGAUACUGGCAAAGUUGGGAGUCUGUCAAGUGCCAACAGAUGGGAACAAGCCUGCUUCCACUAAUAGUUCUUCCCAAACUGCUGAUGUUAUAGCUGGAAGAGAGCUUUAGUCUUCAAGAAGAAAGGCAAAGGAGAAAGCGGAGGCUGCUUCUAUUUCUGUUUGUGUAAUGCUGUCUGACUCUUGUCAAGGAAAAACACAACAAAAAACCAACACAUUUUUCCUGCAGAAGUUUGGGGGGGUGGGAAGGGGAGGAGAACCAUUUUUUUUUCCACUAGUUCUAUUCAAUCAAUUUGUAGACCUACAGAGUAAUUAAGCUAAUUACACAUGUUCAGCCAUCUAGCUGCUUCCCUAUGGGGCCCAUGGUGAAACCAGGCCUGCCAAUUUGAAAGGUCCAUUCUGUGCAAAGGGCCAGUGGUGUUAGACCAGUACUCCCACCUUGAUGUCUGGGGGAGAUCCUCUGUCUCUAAUAAAUAAGUAUUAGCAUUAAAUUCUUCAGAAUACUGAGAGCUGGAGGUCCAUCUUUGUGUGUAUGGGUG